rnacentral:rRNA from 1 species
UGGGGAAUUUUGGACAAUGGGCGCAAGCCUGAUCCAGCCAUGCCGCGUGCGGGAAGAAGGCCUUCGGGUUGUAAACCGCUUUGUCAGGGAAGAAAUCUUCUGAGUUAAUACCUCGGGAGGAUGACGGUACCUGAAGAAUAAGCACCGGCUAACUACGUGCCAGCAGCCGCGGUAAUACGUAGGGUGCAAGCGUUAAUCGGAAUUACUGGGCGUAAAGCGUGCGCAGGCGGUUUUGUAAGACAGAGGUGAAAUCCCGGGCUCAACCUGGGAACUGCCUUUGUGACUGCAAGGCUUGAGUGCGGCAGAGGGGGAUGGAAUUCCGCGUGUAGCAGUGAAAUGCGUAGAUAUGCGGAGGAACACCGAUGGCGAAGGCAAUCCCCUGGGCCUGCACUGACGCUCAUGCACGAAAGCGUGGGGAGCAAACAAGAUUAGAUAUCCUGGUAGUCCACGCCCUAAACGAUGUCAACUGGUUGUUGGGAAGGUUCCUUCUCAGUAACGUAGCUAACGCGUGAAGUUGACCGCCUGGGGAGUACGGCCGCAAGGUUGAAACUCAAAUGAAUUGACGGGGU